rnacentral:tRNA from 1 species
GUGCUUUUGGUGUAGUGGCUAUCACAUCUGCCUAACACGCGGAAGGUCCCAGGUUCAAUCUCUGGCAGGCACA